rnacentral:lncRNA from 1 species
AUUUAACUCCUGACUUUUCUUUGUCAGUUUGCACCUGGCUUUCAGGUUGGAGAUGGAAUUGGAAUGGAUUUAAAACUAUCCAACCACGUUUUUAAUGCUUUAAAACAACAUGCCUACUCGGAAGAACGUCGAAGUGCCCGUCUCCAUGAGAAGAAGGAACAUUCCACCGCUGUAAGCAUUCUUAGCACCUCCCCCAUUUUGGUUGAAAAAUUCAUAUUACAAACAGUAUCUGAGGAAAAAAGAACAAAACAAAAUUUCAUCAUUUCUCCCAUCCCUUUUUCUGAAACUGGCUUUCCAAACCAAUGCUACUCAAGUGAUGUCACUUUGUGGCAUUUUCUAGUUAUUUAAUCAGUGAUUUAAAACACAUAUUACAGAGUUUUCAAUUUCUAGAAGCAGUGCUUUGAGGCUCUCAGGAUCUGGUGUGGCUGGGUGGCUUCUCACAUGAACAUGGUCUCCAGGACAGUACAGGUCCCCAGGACAGCACAGCCUUCAGCAGUGGCCAGCAUCUACAGCUGGCUCACCUGCUGCUGCACCCCAGGAGCCACAGCAGUGGCCUAGGUGGCAACCACAGUAGUUGGUGGUGUGGCUGUUAAAUAUACGAAGCCAGGUGUCAUUAGAGGCUUUAGUGGAGGUAGUAAUUUUGAGACUUCAAACCCUGACAUCACCUACCAGGACCUUCAAGGACCCUAGCUGGCUUAGCAGAAACAGUUGGUGACCCUUGAUUUUAUGAGAAGACCCUUGAUUUCAAGUUUUAACGUGUUCAGAACCAGUAUGAGGCUAACUCCUGGUAGUGUUGAAGUGCCCCGUCUGCCUACAGGGACUAGCCGUGUCAAGGAGUUCAGAUUGAGCUCAGUGGCUCAUGCAUAUCAUCCCAGCACGUUGGAGUUUGAGGCUAACACAGCAGUAUUGCCAUGAGUUUCAGGGUAGCCUGGGCUUCGCAGGGAUUUCCUGGCCAGCCUGGACUAGUGAUAUCCAAAAAAAAAAAAAAAAAAAAAAGGAAGAAAG